rnacentral:rRNA from 1 species
AUUGAACGCUGGCGGCAUGCCUUACACAUGCAAGUCGAACGGCAGCACGGGUGCUUGCACCUGGUGGCGAGUGGCGAACGGGUGAGUAAUACAUCGGAACGUACCUUAUCGUGGGGGAUAACGCAGCGAAAGCUGUGCUAAUACCGCAUACGCCCUGAGGGGGAAAGCGGGGGAUCGCAAGACCUCGCGCGAUUAGAGCGGCCGAUGCGUGGUUAGCUUGUAUGGUGGGGUAAAAGCCCACCAAGGCGACGAUCAGUAGCUGGUCUGAGAGGACGAUCAGCCACACUGGGACUGAGACACGGCCCAGACUCCUACGGGAGGCAGCAGAGGGGAAUUUUGGACAAUGGGGGCAACCCUGAUCCAGCAAUGCCGCGUGAGUGAAGAAGGCCUUCGGGUUGUAAAGCUCUUUUGUCAGGGAAGAAACACCGGCUCUAACACAGUCCGGGAAUGACGGUACCUGAAGAAUAAGCACCGGCUAACUACGUGCCAGCCGCCGCCGUAA